rnacentral:lncRNA from 1 species
CCAUAUUAUCACACUUAAAAAAAACAAAAUUUAGAGACUAAAUAAAAAAAAUCACCAAAAUUUUGGAUUAAGGUGAAAAAAAAAAUUAAAGACUAAAUUAAAAAAAAUGAAGUUUAAUAACUAAAGGUUGAUUUAUCCCAAAUUCAAUGUCAUUUGUCAUUACGAGGGUCAUCAUCUCCAAGUUGAAGAAAGAAAACCAC